CUUCGGUGAUGAUACGAUGACGAGUCGGAACGGGGCCGGUUCUGUCUUCGAGGAUUCUGGGUCAGGUUCACGUUCUGUGCGUCUGACUUCAGUUCCUCAAAAGCAGAGAGUCCUAUUUGCUUGAAGACAUAGAGGCAUUUGUCUGAGAAGG